rnacentral:tRNA from 1 species
AGUGCCUAGGCUUAGCACUUGGCUGCUAAGCAAAAGGUCAGUGGUUCAAACCCACUAGCCACUC